rnacentral:lncRNA from 1 species
AUGAAAAGGAGACAACCAACGCGGGCUGCGUCUCACGACUGGGUGAGCAACUACAGCUCCACCGAGGAGACGGCAGCUCGGAGCCGGGGGCGCAGGCAGAGAGAUGUCGUGGGAGCAGACGUCUUGGACAGAAGUGCAGUGGCGUGUGUCCAGGGCCCAGUCCUCUGGGAGCUGCCCACCCCGCUUGGGAGCAGAGCCCCCAGCCCUGAAAUCGCUGGGCCAGGGCCAGGCGGGGCGAAUCCCCUCUACCCAGUCGGGUACCAGUGCCCUGGGCGCCCCCAUCAAGGACACCAGGGUUUGCACGACAGGGUAGGAGAAGAGGAAUGCGUUUGGUUGCUGGUCCCACAGGGGCCUGGAAGCCCAGGGAGGAGAUGGAGGCCCACGGCCUGCUUCCCGGGCUCCAAGUGAGCAAGUGAUGCGGAAGGCGGGUGCCGGAGUGGAGCUGACUUCGCUGUCGUCCCAGCCCCUGUUCAGCUCAAGUCACACGUGCGAACAGGCUGCUGGCUCCAGGCGGCUGGUAGACUGCAGCUGACAGAUUUGGGAUCUGAUAAGAGACUGUUGAUUUCAUCCGCGUGUGCGAUGUCGGAGAUGGAUUUUAACAGUUAAAACGGGGAAAGGCAAAAAAGAGCCCUAGAUCGUUGACCAGCUUUGCAACACUGGCUGUUGCUUCUAACGGUUCUCCAAACUGUUAACUCCCCGACUUGGAGGUUCCUGUGUGUGAAGGGGCACUAUUGUGCCAUCUGGGGGCGCCGAGAGGGGCGCGUGGAGCAGAAGCAGAGAGUGGUCCACGUGGAGGGGGCGGCCCUUGCAGCUCCGUGCCCCCCUUCCUCUGGGCCCGCUCUCCUCUUGCACACACAGGCGGUCCCCCGGGCCGGCCCGGCGCUGUCAAAGCAAGCAGGGCUCUCUGCUGAGGAAUGCCAUGGGAUUCUAGCCCAGAGGGUCCACCCAUAGAGCCAGGGAUUUAAACAGUGUCAUUAAUUGUCUGCUACAAAAAGAGACACCAAAACUAAAGCUCCCUUUCCCGGGAAACUCUGAUAAGAAGCUUACAAGUUUAUGUAUUUAAAUUUAACAUCAAAGGAUUGGUCGUUUUGGAAGCCACUCAGACAUGCCUCAUGCCACCCCAAAGAAUGGCUGCAUGUGUAACGUGGGGGAUGGGCACAGAUGGCCGCCACCACCAACCGCCCUGUGUCUUUUUAAUUAAUCUUUAUCAGCGUUUUGGGCUUCCCAGGAGGUGCAGUGGUAGAGAAUCCUCUUGCCGAUGCAGGAGACGUGAGCUCCAUCCCUGGUCAGGAAUCAGCUCUAUCGCAGUGUAGCUGAUUGGUAAUGUGUCCGUUUCUGCUUACAGCAAAGGAAUCGGUUACACGUCUACAUGAUUAGAUUCUUUUCCCGUCCAGGUCUUUACAGAGAG